AGGUCCCGGCUGAGAGCGCCGGCUGCCGGCUGGGGACCUGGCAUCUAACUACCAUACAAGUUCAGACCAAUGGAAGAAAAGAGCAGCAAAAAUUGAACUGAAUGAAUCCCAAAAGCAAGAAAUUAAAGACGCCUUUAAUUUAUUUGAUAUUGAUGGGUCUGGAACCAUCGAUGUAAAAGAAGGAAAUGCUUGAUGAAGCUGAUCAUGAUAGAGAUGGAGAAAUAAACGAGGAAGAUGUUUUGAGAGUGAUGAAAAAGACUACUCGUUAUUAAUAGCGUUGUUUUAGUCCUUGUGGAAAAUUAACAAAUUUGUAUUUGUUAUGCAGUUUUAUAAUUUAAUAUCUGAAUGUAUUCAUUUUCAGUUUUUAGUUUAUAUGUACACAUUGGCUUCUUGAUGUCUAAUCCAUGUAAGAAGUUACACAUCUCUACCAAUAUGAUGUUAAAUCUACAGCAUCAAGAAACAAAACAUAAUGACUUCUUUGAGCCAUUAAUCCAAGAACAGUAUUGAUUCUAGCUGCUCUUUUGAGAACCUUAGGUCACAAAGACUUAGAAUUUUAAAGUUUGAUGAAGUUGGCUUCACAUCCAAAUGAAUUUGGCAAACAAAACUUAUAUUUUCCUUUUGUGCAACCC